rnacentral:rRNA from 1 species
GACGAACGCUGGCGGCGUGCCUAAUACAUGCAAGUCGAGCGGACUUGAUGAGAAGCUUGCUUCUCUGAGAGUUAGCGGCGGACGGGUGAGUAACACGUAGGCAAUCUGCCUGUAAGACUGGGAUAACUACCGGAAACGGUAGCUAAUACCGGAUAGGUGAUUUUCUCGCAUGAGGAAGUCAAGAAAGACGGAGCAAUCUGUCACUUACGGAUGGGCCUGCGGCGCAUUAGCUAGUUGGUGAGGUAAUGGCUCACCAAGGCGACGAUGCGUAGCCGACCUGAGAGGGUGACCGGCCACACUGGGACUGAUACACGGCCCAGACUCCUACGGGAGGCAGCAGUAGGGAAUCUUCCGCAAUGGACGAAAGUCUGACGGGGCAACGCCGCGUGAGUGAUGAAGGUUUUCGGAUCGUAAAGCUCUGUUGCCAGGGAAGAACGUCUUAGAGAGUAACUGCUCUAAGAGUGACGGUACCUGAGAAGAAAGCCCCGGCUAACUACGUGCCAGCAGCCGCCGUAA